GUCCCCUUCGGGGUGACAUACGUAAAAAUUGGAACGAUACAGAGAAGAUUAGCAUGGCCCCUGCACAAGGAUGACACGCU
rnacentral:snRNA from 1 species